GAUGUUUUAGGAUAUUCCGAUAGAGACGUUACCAAGCACGAUUUACACAAAUUAGUUUACUUGGAAGCAGUUAUAAAAGAAACCUUGAGACUGUAUCCGAUUGCACCCAUCGUUUCGAGAUAUGCUGAUUCUGAUGUGAAAUUAAAGAACUAUACGGUGCCAGCUGGAUGCAGCGUAUUUUUGUUAUUUUGGGGCAUGCAUCAUCAUUCAAUCUGGGGCCCUGAUGCAGAACAGUUUAACCCAGAAAGAUGGCUGGAUUCACCCACAUUAUCAACGAACUUAAAACUUUUCGCGGGAUUCAGCAUUGGAAAAAGAAACUGUAUAGCAAAAACAUUUGCAAUGAUGUCGAUGAAGACUACAAUUACACAUCUACUAAGACACUACAAAGUUAACGCAGAUAUUUCUAAGAUCACCUUGAAAAUCGACGUUAUGCUCCAACCAGCCUCUGGAAGUGUUAUAAGUUUAGAUUUAAGACGCCCUAAGAACCAUAUUGGCUGUUAAAUAAAUUGUAAAGGAAUGGAGAAUACAGCCAAAAAUUGAGUGAAUACUAUUAUACUAUUAACUUCUAUUAUAUAAUAUUUACUCUAAAUAUAAGUAAGUUGUACAAUAAUGUAUUUCAAUAGUGAGUGAAUGUUAAU